UGUCUUUAAGUUUUUUAUUUAAAGUCCAAUCUGCUCACUGAAUUUUAAAGAGCCGCAGUAUUUGAACUGUGCAAAGGUAGCAUAAUCAAUAGUUUUUUAAUUGAAAACUUGUAUGAAAGAUUAGAUGAGAAAAUGAUUUUCUUUUUUUUAUAAAAAUUUAAUUUAAAUUUUAAGUGAAAAUUCUUAAAUAAAUUAAAAAGACGAGAAGACCCUAUAGAUUUUUAUUAUUAAUGAUUUAAAUAAUAAAUUUAAAUUAUUAAUAAUUUAAUUGGGGUGAUUUUGUAAUAUAAAAAACUUAAUAUAUUUAAACCAAUAAAUAAUUGAAAUUUUUGAUCUAAAAUUUUUUAUAAAUAGAAUAAAUUACCUUAGGGAUAACAGCGUAAUUUUAUUUAAGAGUUCAUAUCUAUAAUAAAGUUUGCGACCUCGAUGUUGAAUUAAGAUAAAAUAUUGAAGCAGAAAUUAAUAUUAUUAGUCUGUUCGACUAUUAAAUUCU
rnacentral:rRNA from 1 species